CUGGCGGCGUGCUUCAUACAUGCAAGUCGAACGAGAAGUCACCUUCGGGUGAUGGAAAGUGGCGGACGGGUGAGUAAUGUGUAGAGAAUCUGCCCUUUAGUGGGGGACAACAGUUGGAAACGACUGCUAAUACCCCAGAUGCGCGUAGCUGAGAUGCUAUUCGUGAAAACUCCGGUGCUAAAGGAUGAGUCUGCAUCUGAUUAGCUAGUUGGCGGUGUAAUGGACCACCAAGGCGACGAUCAGUAGCUGGUUUGAGAGGAUGAUCAGCCACAAUGGGACUGAGACACGGCCCAUACUCCUACGGGAGGCAGCAGUAGGGAAUUUUGCGCAAUGGGGGAAACCCUGAACGCAGCAACGCCGCGUGAUUGAAUAAGCCCUUCGGGGUGUAAAGAUCUGUCAGUAGGGACGAAACUUGACGGUACCUACAGAGGAAGCAUCGGCUAACUCCGUGCCAGCCGCGGC
rnacentral:rRNA from 1 species